CUACAGUCAUCUGAUGAGCUAAAGAAGAGGCCACAUCCGCCAUCAGAGGAAAUAAAUCUCCUGACAUCUAGCUUAGAUCUGCGCCCUUAUGAUGUGCUGUGGCAGAUUCUCUUGUCAAGAGGUGAAGCCUAUUUCUCAAUCCCGAGAAUCUGGGUUGGCCUGUGACUUGCUUGGCCGAUGGAACAUUAGCAGGAAUAAUGCAGCACAGGCCUGGAAAUCACUUGUGCAUUGGGACUUGCUCUCUCGCUACAUUUGUUACCCUGAGAACACUAUGUGAACAAGCCCAAGGUGGCCUGCUGGAGGGAUAGAGG
rnacentral:lncRNA from 10 species